GUCUAUCGCCGUACCACCCUGAGUGCGCCCGCUCUCCUCUGAUCACGGAAGCUAAGCAGGAUUGGGCCUGGUUAGUGCUUGGAUGAGAGACCGCCUGGGAAUACUGGGGUCUGCAGGUU
rnacentral:rRNA from 1 species